UAGCGUUAAAGGGGGUGAAAAGCCCCCUCGCCGUAAGCGCAAGGUUUUCUACGCAACGUUCAUCGGCGUAGAGUGAGUCGGCCCCUAAGGCGAGGCAGAGAUGCGUAGCUGAUGGGAAACAGGUCAAUAUUCCUGUACCGAUCAAUAGUGCGAUGUGGGGACGGAGAAGGUUAGCUCAGCCAACUGUUGGAUAUGUUGGUUCAAGCCUGUAGUCGUGCCUGGUAGGCAAAUCCGCCGGGCUUAGAUGAGGGGUGAUAACGAGGCUGCUUGCAGCCGAAGUGAGUGAUACCCUGCUUCCAGGAAAAGCCACUAAGCUUCAGCUAUUGACGACCGUACCGCAAACCGACACUGGUGCGCGUGAUGAGUAUUCUCAGGCGCUUGAGAGAACUCGGGAGAAGGAACUCGGCAAAUUGACACCGUAACUUCGGGAUAAGGUGUGCCCUAGUAGCGUGUAGAG
rnacentral:rRNA from 1 species